rnacentral:rRNA from 1 species
UACGUAGGGGGCAAGCGUUGUCCGGAUUUCUUGGGCGUAAAGAGCGUGUAGGCGGUUAGGUAGGUCCGUUGUGAAAACUCGAGGCUCAACCUCGAGACGCCGAUGGAAACCAUCUAACUAGAGUCCGGAAGAGGAGAGUGGAAUUCCACGUGUAGCAGUGAAAUGCGUAGAGAUGUGGAGGAACACCGAUGGCGAAGGCAGCCCCCUGGGCUAACACUGACGCUCAGGCACGAAAGCGUGGGGAGCAAACAGG